CGGGGUCGGAGUGUAGGCUCUCCGCUCUUGCUCGCUCGGAGCUGUCCUCGCCUGGGCUCCUCUCUCUCCUGGGCUUUAAAAGCACUGGGGAGGUGUGCGGAGGAAGCCUCUGGUUCUCUGCGAGAGAAGCGAAGCCCGCGAUUCAUCUUGAGGAUAAAUGAGGCUCUCUAAAACAAGAUGCAAUACUAAUCAACAGAUAUUGACAGAUGUUGAAUUCCUGAUAUGUGCCUGAUAUAUGAGAGAAAUAGUCACAGUCCCUGUUUUAAAAGUGUUGAAAAAUAUGGUAAAGGUAAAAAAUGUCCUGAAAUUGAAAAUUUAAGACUUCACUUAGAUGAAUGUACUUUUUUUCCUCCUAAAUUUGAGCUAAUGUUACUCUGGGGCUCUACUUCCCUCUGGGAACUAUGGGGGAAAAAAUUUAACUUGCCAGUUAACAUAUCUCAAGUCUUUGCUAAUUUAAAUCAUAUCUUUGAUGGUUUGGUCUCUUGGGUAUACACCCUAUUGUUCAGAUUUCCUUCUCCACUUCCUUUGCAUGCUAUCUGGAGAUGUGAUGAUCUGGAGUCGUAUGAUUGGAAAGAAGUGUGCCUAGAUACACAUCCACAGGCUCUUUGAGGGGGUCCUCUUGCUUCUUUGGUCUUUCUAGGCUCUGUUCUUUGCCUCGUUGCUGGAUAUCUGAUGCUGAGGUCUGAGACUCAUGGACUCGUGGUUAGUUCUGUCAGCUUAGUCCAUCUCCAGUGGUUCGCUGUUGCCAGCUUGGACCCAUCCUACUACACGUGAUGGCAUCAUGCAUCCCUCUUGGGAUCUAGCUGCAACUCCCAGGAGAUUUUCAUUGUGGGUGGUCCACUACUUCCCCCCAGUUGGCAAUCUCCUGCUUUGCUGUCUGUCUUCCUUGGCAUCAAAAAGAAUCCAGAGGGGCUUCCCUGGUGGCGCAGUGGUUGAGAGACCACCUGCCGAUGCAGGGGACACGGGUUCGUGGCCCGGUCCGGGAAGAUCCCACAUGCCGCAGAGCGGCUGGGCCCGUGAGCCAUGGCCGCUGAGCCUGCGCGUCCGGAGCCUGUGCUCUGCAACGGGAGAGGCCACAACAGUGCGAGGCCUGCGUACCGCAAAAAAAAAAAAAAAAAAAGAAUCCAGAAACAUCUGGAUUCUUUUCAAGAACACAAGGAAUCUCAAGUAUACCUGAAAGUGCCAAUUUCAGUUCUCUGCUUGACUGUGUCCUGCUGUUAUUUUCACACUCCUGAAAUCAUUCCAUGUUUCUCUUCGGUAGUCUACUUCCCCCAUGUUCCAGUCUGGGGAUGGGCCACAUGUUUCAAACUUUUCCCUCAACUAAUCUUACUCUCUGAGUGAUGGAAAGUUCUGCUCCCCUCCCUGUUGCCACGGAGACUAGCAGCCCCAUCUUUCCUUCCUCUCCCUACUUCCAAGUUUCAGCUGCCCCUUUUCCCAUGGAAACUGAAUACCCAACUCCCAGCUAUUUCUUAGGUCCCGUUGCCUGCUUCUCAUCUUCACAAUUAUCAAAUGCUGCACUCUAGACUUUUUUAGGUUCCCCACAGCCCUGCCCUCCACGGCUUUCCUGGGGUCGAACUUCCCAAGAGGCCUUUGAGUAUCCACUGGAUCAGGAACCUGAGAAUAUCCCUGGGCUCAUGUGCUACCCCCUAAAACCUGCAGCCCUCCCAUUGCAACUGAAAGCUGAGGGUUACCUGAGGCUUUUAGAAGUCAUCUCUAGGCCAUCUUCAUCUUUACAGACCCAACCCCCAAAAGACACCAGGAAGCUGCUGCCUCUCUCCUUGCCAAGCAGCCCAGCACAGAUGAAGUCCUUUCUCCCAGCACUGGACACAGGGCAGUGAUGGAGAGAAAUCAGGACUGGAUUAUUCAGAAGAAAAAAAAUCCAUAUUUCCUUCAAAAGGAGAUAUAGCUAGUGGUGGGUAGGUCUGUGGCAGUGUUGGUGAUACAAAGAUGGGAGAGGAAGGAAGGAAACUUCUACUGAUUGUGUAACCACUGGGCUGAGCACUCAGUACUUGUGUCUGAUUGUCUUCUCGCAGUUCUACAAUUUGUGAGUUAGCUAGAAAACUGAGGUUCAAAGAGUAGUCAUAGGCUUAUGGUAACAUGGCUUUACCGGCCUAUUCACAACGUGACCACAGCCUUGUAGACUUCAGUGUUUAUAUUCUUUUUACUCUACCAUGCACCAAGCUCCUGUCCCCUGACUGAGCCCUCACACCGUCAGGAGCUGGUGUUCCUUUCUGAAUUCUAUUUUUGAGACCACUCUCUGCAACUGCGGUUCAUUAGUCUCAGGCUAUAGAUCCAGCUCUGCCUCUACUUUGUUUUGAUCUUCAGCAAAUUACCUUCCCUCCUGAUAUUCAGUUUCUAACUGUAAGCCCAAGACAGGGAACGUGAUGCCAAACAUCCAGUCACUAUUCCUGACUGAUCCUGAAAAGCUCAGUUAUUCUCGUGAGUAAUUUAUUUUGGGGUGUGCAUUUUAAUAAUUUGUUUAUAUGUUAAUAAUUUGUUUUAUUGAUUAUUUUAAAUCUAAGUAAAAAAUUACAUUUUAUAUAUUUUGAGGUUUUAUUUUUAGAUUUCUAUUUAUGAUAUUAAAUUCCUCUUUAUAGUUGUGGUAUAAAAUAUGUAAAUUAGGAUAACACAGAGAACUCUACUUAAUGCACUGUAGUGUCCUAAAUGGAGGGGAUAUAUGUAUACGUAUGGCUGAUUCAUUUUGCUGUGCAGUAGAAGCUAACACAACAUUGUAAAGCAACUGUACUCCAAUAAAAAUUAAUUAAAAAGAUAUAAAUUAAAACAUAUCUGGGCUUCCCUGGUGGCGCAGUGGUUGAGAGACCACCUGCCGAUGCAGGGGACACGGGUUCGUGCCCCGGUCCAGGAAGAUCCCACAUGCCGCGGAGCGGCUGGGCCUGUGAGCCAUGGCCGCUGAGCCUGCGCGUCCGGAGCCUGUGCUCCACAACAGGAGAGGCCACAACAGUGAGAGGCCCACGUACUGCAAAAAAACCCCAUAUCCAUUUAAAGAAAACUAGUAAUAAUUAUUGAGAGAUGUCAAAAAUCAUGAAGACGAUAUACAUAUGAUUGAACUUCGGGAAGCACUGGACCCAAGGGAGAGAAGAGAUAAUGCCCAGAAUUAAACACUGAGGCUGUCCAGCAUUUAGACAUUAAGAAAAAUAAGAGAAGCUGAUAAGACCAAAAAAGGAGGAGCUUCAGUGAUAAGAGGGAAUUUUUUUUUUAACAUCUUUAUUGGAGUAUAAUUGCUUUACAGUGUUGUGUUAGUUUCAUUGUGAAUCAGCUAUAUGUAUAUACAUAUAUUCCCAUAUCCCCUCCCUCUUGCGCCUCCCUCCCACCCUCCCUAUCCCACCCCUCUAGGUGGUCAAAAAGCACCGAGCUGAUCUCCCUGUGCAAUGCACUAGCUUCCCACUAACUAUCUGUUUUACAUUUAGUAGUGUAUAUAUGUCAGUGCCACUCUCUCACUUCGUCCCAGUUUACCCUUCCCUGUCCCUGUGCCCUCAAGUCCAUUCUCUAUGUCUGCAUCUUUAUUCCUGUCCUGCCCAUAGGUUUAUCAGAACCAUUUUUUUUAGAUUCCAUGUGUAUGUGUUAGCAUACGGUAUUUGUUUUUCUCUUUCUGACUUACUUCACUCUGUAUGACAGACUCUAGGCCCAUCCACCUCACUACAAAUAACUCAAUUUCAUUUCGUUUUAUGGCUGAGUAAUAUUCCAUUGUAUAUAUGUGCCACAUCUUCUUUAUCCAUUCAUCUGUCAGUGGCCACUUAGGUUGCUUCCAUGUCCUGGCUAUUGUAAAUAGAGCUGCAAUGAACAUUGUGGUACAUGACUCUUUGAAUUAUGGUUUUCUCAGGGUAUAUGCCCAGUAUUGGGAUUGCUGGGUCAUAUGGUAGUUCUAUUUUUAGUUUUUUAAGGAACAUCCAUACUGUUCUCCAUAGUGGCUGUACGAAUUUACAUUCCCACCAACAGUGCAAGAGGGUUCCCUUUUCUCCACACCCUCUCCAGCAUUUGUUGUUUGUAGAUUUUUUGAUGAUGGCCAUUCUGACCAGUGUGAGGUGAUACCUCAUUGCAGUUUUGAUUUGCAUUUCUGAUAAAAGAGAAUUUCAGAGAGUGUAAUACAUAAAACUUUUCUCUGAGCUGCUCUGGCCUGAUGGAUGCCAAAUGUACCAAAAAUGCUAUGUCAAGACAUCCAGGGGUUCCGUUGGGAGGGGAGGAUCCCCAACCAGCCUAGGUCAAGGCAUUUAACUAAUGACAUUGGGUGGGGUUAACACAAUGACUCAAAUUUCCAGAAGCAGUCUCAGCUAAGUAUCAUCUAUUGCUUUGAAACUAUUCUCUCCUGAGCCAAACAGGUAAAAAUUGAGAAGGGAGAAAGGUAGUGAAGAGGAUGGGAAAGUAGUAUUUAGAAGUCAAAGGUGGUGGAAGUGGGGGAAAGCUUCGCAAUGCAGAGAGAGAAAAUGAAGCCUAAAUUAGGGCUGUACCAACCAUAUGUAAGGAGAAAAUAUAGGUUGAAGAGUAGUCUUCAUUACAGAAAAUGGAGUAGACUUUGAUUAAAUAAAAAUAGUAAAUAAAAAAUAUCAAUGGCUCUAAUCUUGAACGGUUCUAGUAUUCUUGAACUGUUGUACUUUAUCCCCUGGGCAUGGAACAGUCCACAGUGCUUCUCUGAGUGGGGCUGCCAGAUAAAAUGCUUGGGACAUACUUAUACUAAAAAAGAAAUUGCUCGUUUAUCUGAAGUUCAGAUUUAACUGGGUGUUCUGUAUUAACUAGUUAAUUUUGUUGUUGCUAACUUUGGCUGUCUCCAAUAUCUUCCGGAGGCUUUCUGCUGGAGCUUGAACUCUUGGCAAGGAUUCACCCAACUAAAGAAUACUUACUGGUUCUCAGGUUAUCUAAGUAUCUCUAACUAUGCUGUCUUCUUGCAGUGACCAUAUAAAAAGCUCCCUUUCUCCCCCAACCACAUUGUAUUUUGAAAACUAGAAAACCUAUAGAAAAUUUGCAAGAAAUGUACAAUGGCUAUCUAUAUACCAUUUACGUAAUUCAACAAUUUUAACAUUUUGUCACAUUUUCUUCCUUUCCCUCCUCCCUCUUUUCCUCCCUUUGUGCAUAUGUGUGUUGUUUAGCUGAACCAUUUGAGAGUUAGUUGCAGAUAUCUAGACACCUAGGCCCCCAAACUCUCAGCAUGUAUCUUUUAAAAAUGAGGAUAUUUUCCUCUGUAACCACAGUGCAAUUAUCGCACUCAGGACAUUUAAUAUUGACAUAAUACUACUUUCUAAUAUGCAGUCCAUAUUUAAGUUUCUGCAAUUGUCCCAGUAAUGUCCUUUAACAUUUUUUUUUUUUGGUAUUCUAGAUUUGAGCAAGGAUCAUGCAUCGUAUUGUAUUUAUUUUCAUGUCUCUGUUCUUUAAUGUAGCACAGGUUGACAGUCUUUUUUUUUUUAUUAUUCAUAAUAUUGACAUUUUUGAAGAGUCCAAGUGCAUUCUUUUGCAGAUGUCUGAUUGUUUCCUCAUGGUUAGACUUAGGGUAAACAUUUUUGGCAGGAAUACUAAUAGGUGAUAUAUCACACAUCUGAGUGUGUCACAACAGAGGAUAUAUGAUGUGAAUAUGUCCUUUUAAUGAUGAUCAGUUGGAUUAUUUGAUUAAGGUGUUAUCUACUAUAUUUCUCCAUUAUAAAGAUUCAUUUUUUCCCUUUGUAGUUAAUAAGUGACUUGUGAUGGGAUAUUUUGGACUGUGUGAAGAUCCUGUUUCCCCAUAUUUCUCCCAAUGGUUUUAGUAUCCAUUGAUGAUUCUCUCCUGAAAUCAAAUAUUAAUACGGUAGUUGUGAAAUAGUGACUUUUUAUUUCUAUCAUCUCUUUUAUGUUUAUUAGUUAGCAUUCUUCUAUAAAGGAAGGCUUUCCUUUCUCCUCCUAAUUGCUUUAAAAUUAAAAAAAAAUCAGUGUAGACUCAUGGAUUCUAUUUUAUUCAGUGUGUUAUAAUCCAUUCCUGUCAUUAUUCACUUUGAUGCUCAUAUUGUCCCAAAUUUGGCAAGUGGCAGCCCCUUAAAUGGGUUCUUAUAUCUCUUUGACAUAUCUUCCUCAGUAUUGAGUACUUCCUUAAUUUCUGGCACUAGAAAAUGUUCCAGGCUCACCUUGAAAUUAUGCAUUUUCCCAAAGGGUUUGGGGAAUGGUGUUUAGAAAACAAGCCCUGGGUGCCAUGUGUGCUCAUUGCUCUGGGGUGAAAUAGCUUUUAGGUCCUCUCAAUGGACAGUACUAGAAACACUUUUUAAAAUCCAUGAGUUCAUAAUGAUACUCUAAUUGAUAUCCCAUCCAGUAGUAUAGAAUUCUACCUCCAUUCCAUAUUUGUCUCUUUGUUUUCCCACAGUGAACUCCCUGCUUCCUCAAAACAUCAAUAUAUUUACUCAUUUGCUCAUUUCUGUAACAUACACAAAACAGUUUCAGAAUUACUUCACCAACAUUAUCCAAAACAAGCUUACCAAGUAACGUUUGAGAUUUUUUUUGUCCUUGGAAUAUAUCCCACUGAAAGUGUAUAGUCAGAAUAAUUUGUUAUUAUGUUCAGAUAUUUUUUGGAUUAGUUCUUUUUUCUUUGUAAUUGUAUUAUUAACUUGGUUAUAAUCAAGGUAAUUCAUUUUUUUCACUUUCAGGGCCUCCUACCCACCCAUUCUUGUUGAUUUAAUUUAUUUUUUUUAAUAUGUGAAAUGCUUAACAUGGUUCAAAAUAUGAAACUAUAUAAAAGUUAUAUUCAGACAGGUCCUGUCCUCUUUCCAUCUCUUCAAUUUCCCCCAACCCCCAUAGAUAAGCAAAUUUAUUUGUUUCUUGUUUAUCUUUUUUUUUCUUUUUUGUAAAUACAAAUGAUACAUGCAGCACUAUUUACAAUAGGCAAACAUGGAAGCAACCUAAAUAUCCACCGACAGAUGAAUGGAUAAAGAAUAUGUGGUACAUUGGGACUUCCCUGGUGGUGCAGUAGUUAAGAAUCUGCCUGCCAACGCAGGGGACACAGGUUCGAGCACUGGUCUGGGAAGAUCCCAUGUGCCACGGAGCAACUAAGCCCAUGCGCCAAAACUACUGAGCCUAUGCACCACAACUACUGAGCCCACGUGCCACAACUACUGAAGCCCGCACGCCUAGAGCCCGUGCGUGCUCCUCAACAAGAGAAGCCACUGCAGUGAGAAGCCCAUGCACCACAACAAAGAGUAGCCCCCACUCGCUGCAACUAGAGAAAGCCCACAUGCAGCAACAAAGACCCAAUGCAGCCAAAAAAAAAGAACAUGUGGUAUAUAUAUAUAUAUAAUGGAAUAUUACUCAGCCGAAGAAAAGAAUGAAAUAAUGCCAUUUACAGUAAUGUGGAUGGACCUGGAAAUCAUCAUACUAAUGAAUCAGAAA